AUCAGCCUUUUGGGUGUGAUUUUGUGGAGCGUGAGGAGUUAAACGCCUUCAUGCCUGCAUAUUCGUGCACUUUGGGUGUACUUGCCCGUAUGGUUGGUUAACAUCAAUUUUGGUGGUCAUAAAAUGACUGGAGGAAUGUAGCUUCGAUCUUGUAUUGAAGUGUUAUAGCCUUCGGUAGAUGUGAUGAUCGAGAUUGAGGAUUGCAACGGAUACCCUUCGGGGCUACCUGUCUGAUCUCUGAUCGUUGCUCUGGUGCCGAAAGCUUGCUUACGGUUAUCAAAGUCGAUGGUCAAUAGGUUAGAACGGGUUAAAUUCGUUAAGGAUGUUGACGUAAUGGCUUU
rnacentral:rRNA from 1 species